AUGGCGGACUCGAAGCUCCCCGACAUGCAGGCGGGGUGGGAGCAGGCGAUCUCCAACACCAUGGCGGGGCUGUCGGGGCUGAACAUGGUCUACGAGGCGG
rfam:Rubellimicrobium mesophilum DSM 19309 genomic scaffold scaffold13, whole genome shotgun sequence.